rnacentral:rRNA from 1 species
GACAGAGGGGGCAAGCGUUGCUCGGAAUCACUGGGCGUAAAGGGCGCGUAGGCGGCUUGGUAUGUCGGGUGUGAAAUCCCCGGGCUCAACCUGGGAACUGCAUCCGAAACUGCCUUGCUCGAGUAUGGGAGAGGGAAGUGGAAUUUCCGGUGUAGCGGUGAAAUGCGUAGAUAUCGGAAGGAACAUCAGUGGCGAAGGCGACUUCCUGGACCAAUACUGACGCUCAGGUGCGAAAGCGUGGGGAGCAAACAGG